rnacentral:misc_RNA from 1 species
GAUGAAGAACGUAGCAAAAUGCGAUAAGUAAUGUGAAUUGCAGAAUUCAGUGAAUCAUCGAAUCUUUGAACGCACAUUGCGCCCGCCAGUAUUCUGGCGGGCAUGCCUGUUCGAGCGUCAUUUCAACCAUCAAGCCCCAGGCUUGUGUUGGGGACCUGCGGCUGCCGCAGGCCCUGAAAACCAGUGGCGGGCUCGCUAGUCACACCGAGCGUAGUAGCAUACACAUCGCUCAGGGCGUGCUGCGGGUUCCGGCCGUUAAACCCCUCCAAUUUAUCAAGGUUGACCUCGGAUCAGGUAGGAAUACCCGCUGAACUUAAGCAUAUCAAUAAGCGGAGGA